AGUGAACGCUGGCGGUAGGCCUAACACAUGCAAGUCGAACGGCAGCACAGUAAGAGCUUGCUCUUACGGGUGGCGAGUGGCGGACGGGUGAGGAAUACAUCGGAAUCUACUUUUUCGUGGGGGAUAACGUAGGGAAACUUACGCUAUUACCGCAUACGACCUACGGGUGAAAGCAGGGGAUCUUCGGCCCUUGCGCGAUUGAAUGAGCCGAUGUCGGAUUAGCUAGUUGGCGGGGUAAAGGCCCACCAAGGCGACGAUCCGUAGCUGGUCUGAGAGGAUGAUCAGCCACACUGGAACUGAGACACGGUCCAGACUCCUACGGGAGGCAGCAGUGGGGAAUAUUGGACAAUGGGCGCAAGCCUGAUCCAGCCAUACCGCGUGGGUGAAGAAGGCCUUCGGGUUGUAAAGCCCUUUUGUUGGGAAAGAAAGGCAGCAGGUUAAUACCCCGCUGUUCUGACGGUACCCAAAGAAUAAGCACCGGCUAACUUCGUG
rnacentral:rRNA from 1 species